AAUGGAUCCAGGUUAAUUUUGCUAUCUUGACUGAUUGGAAUAUUGGAUUAAGAGAUGACGAACUUUCAGUUUGCACAUAUACUGGCGCAAGAAUUAAUGUGGCUUCUUACUAGAAUACUGCUUCUGUAGAAAACAAAAACAAGAAUUGAUCAAAGAUUAAUAGUACACUAGACGGAUUUAGGGCCAGUUAAAUGGGUCUAACUCAACACAUUGCUUUCAGCUUGAACUAUAUAUAAAUAUACAAAAUAUAUUUCUUAAAAUGCUACAUAUUAUAAAAUCAUACUCAUUUUUUAACUCACUACCUCUAAAUUCUGAAUUCGCAUCGGAAUAUCACCCGGACAUUGUAAACUAAAAAGGAUAUAUUAUAAUUUCACCUAAGCACAAUAAUUUGAAAACGGUAAAAAAGAUAUUCACCUUUUGCACUUUGAUUAUGCAGUUUCUUUGAUGGAAAAUGGUGAAGCUUCUUCAAUGAAAGUACUUUGUGAGCCUUCAAAAUCUUCUUAAUGCCAUGUAUCAAACUGACAUCCAUAUUAUAUAUACAAAAUAGGAAAAAAGUAAUAAGCUUCAAUUUCUACAUGUAAUUUUUGCUUGAUCUUUAGGAAGAAGAAGAAGAAAAGGAUGAGAAAAUUUCUGUUUAUAUUGAGCUAAUGAUACAUGAAAAAUGGUAGUUUCUUAUAGUUGUAACCUUUUGACAAAUAGAGUUUAUAAGACUAGUUAAGGACACUAAAAAAAAGACUAAAUAUAGAUAAUAAAAAAUUUAAAUUCACUUCACCCUAAGGUGCUUAACUUUAUUUUCUACUCUAGAAAAAAU
rnacentral:lncRNA from 1 species